rnacentral:rRNA from 1 species
UACGUAGGGUGCGAGCGUUUGUCCGGAAUUAUUGGGCGUAAAGAGCUUGUAGGCGGUUUGUCGCGUCUGCUGUGAAAUCUCAAGGCUCAACCUUGAGCUUGCAGUGGGUACGGGCAGACUAGAGUGUGGUAGGGGAGACUGGAAUUCCCGGUGUAGCGGUGAAAUGCGCAGAUAUCGGGAGGAACACCGGUGGCGAAGGCGGUUCUCUGGGCCUUACCUGACGCUGAGGAGCGAAAGCGUGGGGAGCGAACAGG